rnacentral:rRNA from 1 species
UACAGAGGUCUCAAGCGUUGUUCGGAUUCAUUGGGCGUAAAGGGCGCGUAGGCGGCGGGGUAAGUCGGGUGUGAAAGUCUCGAGAGCUCAACUCUGAAAUGGCACUUGAUACUGCUCUGCUAGAGGACUGGAGAGGAGAUUGGAAUUCACGGUGUAGCAGUGAAAUGCGUAGAUAUCGGGAGGAACACCGGUGGCGAAGGCGGCGACCCUGGGUC